AAGUUUCCCUCAGGAUAGCUGGAACUUAUGAGAAAGUAGUUUUAUCAGGUAAAGCGAAUGAUUAGAGGCUUUGGGGAAGAAACUUCCUCGACCUAUUCUCAAACUUUUAAAUAGGUAAGAUUUGAAGGAUACUUAAGUGAUCUUUCAAUCUCUUGAAUAUAAAGUUCUUAGUGGGCCAUUUUUGGUAAGCAGAACUGGCGAUGUGGGAUGAACCGAACGUUAAGUUAAAGUGCCAAAUAAUACGCUCAUGAGAUACCAUAAAAGGUGUUGGUUCAUUUUGACAGCAGGACGGUGGCCAUGGAAGUCGGAACCCGCUAAGGAGUGUGUAACAACUCACCUGCCGAAUGAACUAGCCCUGAAAAUGGAUGGCGCUUAAGCGUACAACUUAUACUUAACCCUUACUUGAAUUAUUAUAGCGAGUAAGGAGUAGGAGGGCG
rnacentral:rRNA from 1 species